rnacentral:tRNA from 1 species
GGGUCUGUAGCCUUCAGGUUACGCUUCCGCUUCAUAAGCGGAAGGUCAUGGGUUCGAUUCCCAGCCCCU